GCGGGCGUAGCUCAGUUGGUAGAGCGUCAGCUUCCCAAGCUGAGGGUCGCGGGUUCGAAUCCCGUCGCCCGCUCAA
rnacentral:tRNA from 1 species